AUCAUUGCUUUGAAAAGAAGAGUAUAUUUUUGGAUUGUAUAAAGAGACCUCGGAUGGUGAGAAAGAGGAACAAGAAGGAAAUAGAAGAUGGUCUUUGAGCAUAAAAGUAUGAGCGUCUACCGCUAGUAUUUUUCGGGAGUUCCCGUUACCGGACAACAGUAUUUAAAGCGACUCGCUUGCGUACUGGGUAAGAUUAUUAUCGUGAGGUAAUAAUGAAAAAAGGUGGUAACACGAAACAACGCUUUCGUCCUUUGU
rnacentral:ncRNA from 1 species